rnacentral:misc_RNA from 1 species
GAUGAAGAACGCAGCGAAAUGCGAUAAGUAAUGUGAAUUGCAGAAUUCAGUGAGUCAUCGAAUCUUUGAACGCACAUUGCGCCCCCUGGUAUUCCGGGGGGCAUGCCUGUUCGAGCGUCAUUUCACCACUCAAGCCUCGCUUGGUAUUGGGCAACGCGGUCCGCCGCGUGCCUCAAAUCGACCGGCUGGGUCUUCUGUCCCCUAAGCGUUGUGGAAACUAUUCGCUAAAGGGUGUUCGGGAGGCUACGCCGUAAAACAACCCCAUUUCUAAGGUUGACCUCGGAUCAGGUAGGGAUACCCGCUGAACUUAAGCAUAUCAAUAAGCGGAGGA